CAGCUCCACCUGCCGUCGCUCCAGCCUGUGUAGUUGCAGCCCUGGCUGCCUCCCGCCAGCUCGCCUUGGGGAAAAGGAGCGCGAGCUCGGGCAUUUGCGUCCCAGCCUCUCCCUGAGCCAUGAACUCCAACUGCGCCCAGUGUGGCAAGAUCGUGUAUCCCAUGGAGAAGAUGGACUGUCUGGAUAAGUUCUGGCACAAAGCAUGCUUCCAUUGCAAGACCUGCAAGAUGACGCUGAACAUGAAGAACUACAAGGGCUACAAGAAGAAGCCCUACUGCAAUGCACACUACCCCAAGCGGUCCUUCACCAUGGUGGCCAACACCCCGGAAAACCUUUGCCUCAAGCAACAGAGUGAGCUCCAGAGUCAGGUGCACUACAAGGAGGAGUUUGAGAAGAACAAGGGCAAAGGCUUCAGCGUGGUCGCGGACAUGCCUGAGCUCCAGAGAAUCAAGACCCAGGACCAGAUCAGUAACAUAAAAUACCAUGAAGAGUUUGAGAAGAGCUGCAUGGGCCCUAGCGGGGGUGAGGGCAUGGAGCCAGAGUGCUAGGACUCCCAGGACAGCAGCAGCUACCGGCAGCCCCUGGAGCAGCAGCAGCCCCACCACGUCCCAACCAGUGCCCCGGUUUACUAGCAGUCCCAGCAGCAGCCAACGGCCCAGUCCUAUGGGAGCUACAAGGAGCCUGCAGCCCCAGUCUCCGUACAGCGCAGCGCUCCAGGUGGCGGCAGGAAGUGGUACGGCGCGGUGUAUGACUACAGCGCCUCCGGCGAGGACGACGACGAAGACGAGGUCUCCUUCCAGGACAGGGACACCAUCGUCAACGUGCAGCAGGUCGACCACGGCUGGAUGUACAAGACGGUGGAGUGCACCGGCGACAUGGGGAUGCUGCUGGCCAACUACGUGGAGGCCAUCUGA